CCUACGGGGUGCAGCAGUGGGGAAUAUUGCACAAUGGGGGAAACCCUGAUGCAGCGACGCCGCGUGAGUGAAGAAGUAGUUCGGUAUGUAAAGCUCUAUCAGCAGGGAAGAAAAUGACGGUACCUGAUGAAGAAGCCCCGGCUAACUACGUGCCAGAAGCCGCGGUAAUACGUAGGGGGCAAGCGUUAUCCGGAUUUACUGGGUGUAAAGGGAGCGGAGACGGCAGCACAAGUCUGGAGUGAAAUGCCGGGGCUUAACCCCGGUACUGCUUUGGAAACUGUGCAGCUAGAGUGCAGGAGAGCUAAGUGGACUUCCUCUUGUAGCGGUGAAAUGCGUAGAUAUUAGGAGGAACACCAGUGGCGCAGGCGGCUUACUGGACUGUACCUGACGUUGAGGCUCGAACGCGUGGGGAGCAAACAGGAUUAGAUACCCGAGUAGUC
rnacentral:rRNA from 1 species